UACGUGGGGUGCAAGCGUUAUCCGGAUUUACUGGGCGUAAAGAGUACCGUCGGUGGCUGAGUAAGUUUUUCGUUCAAGCCUGGGGCCCAACUCCAGAUCGGCGGAGAAAACUACACAGCUUGAGUCUGUUCGGGGAACUUAGAAUUCUCGGUGGAGGGGUGAAAUCCGUAGAUAUCGAGAGGAAUACCAUACGCGAAGGCAGAGUUCUAGGACAGCACUGACACUCAUGGACGACAGCUCGGGGAGCAAAUGGG
rnacentral:rRNA from 1 species